UACGUAGGGCGCGAGCGUUGUCCGGAAUUAUUGGGCGUAAAGAGCUCGUAGGCGGCUUGUCACGUCGGGUGUGAAAGACCGGGGCUUAACUCCGGUUCUGCAUUCGAUACGGGCAGGCUAGAGUGUGGUAGGGGAGAUCGGAAUUCCUGGUGUAGCGGUGAAAUGCGCAGAUAUCAGGAGGAACACCGGUGGCGAAGGCGGGUCUCUGGGCCGAUACUGACGCUGAGGAGCGAAAGCGUGGGGAGCGAACAGG
rnacentral:rRNA from 1 species